GGCAGCGGCUCGAGCGCAGCCUAAAUUUAGCCCCGGUAUAAAAGGACGCGGCGGCGGCGGCCGCAGCCCGAGCGGGGCGGAGCGGAGCGGGGCCCAACGGCGGCCCCUGACCGGCCCCCAGCGCGGGGAGCGGAGCCGGGACCCCCCCAACACGCGCACACGGAGACACACGCACGUACACAGACACACGCACACACAUACAUGCAUACACACGGACACGCACGCACACACACGCUCACAGACAGGCACUGACAUGCACACACACAUGCGCACGCACAUAAGCGCACAUACAUGCACACACACGCACAUACGUGCACACACACGCACAUACAUGCACACAUACAGACACAGACACUUCGGACACGGGGUGCCGGGGGUGUAGGGUCCCCGCGCGUGGCACUGAUGGCUCUGCGUCUCUGUGGGACCCCCGUGGGGAUUGGGGUCGGAGGCUAUGGGGGGCCGUCCGUGACGCGGGGUGAUGGCGGUGAGCCCACGGCCCGCAGACACCGCGAGGGGGUGGGGGUUCGCUCCCCUCCCGCAGCGGCUGCCCUCCGCCCCGAUGCUCCCGGCGGUGCCGUCGGAGCCGCUCGGUGCUUCCUGGGCCGGAGCCGUGCGAGCAGCGGGAGCUCUGGGCUCGGGCAGUUCCCGUUUGCUGCACAAAGCACCCAAAGCAACGUUUCCUUAUGCUACAAGGACAGAGACAACGCAAGGAGCUCCUGAGCUCUCCUUUGGCCGUCGCCAAAUUCUGGUCUUGGGCUGAAUGUUUCCGAGGGGAACGCUGUGCUCCCUUGCCUCGGCCUGUGGCCCCAGUGCCCGCUCUUAAGGAACGAUUCUCCAGUAAUUUUUGAUAAUGUGCCCCAGGCUGCUGCCUUUGAGAAUCGCAGCUGCUUGGCAGCCGUCCAGGACAGAAAGAGCAAAAGUGGCAAUUCUGAAAUGAGGAAAAUGAUGAUCUAUUGCGGAUAGAGAGAUUCUUUGAAAGCCAGCUUCAGGGAAAGAGCCGCGCUUCCCCCGCACCUCCUCCAUAUUUUCUUUGCGAUCAAUUCUAAAAGAAUUUCUGCCUUAUAGAUGAGAAAAAAUGUAGAACAACCCUUGCUUUUAUGUGCUGUGUGCCCCGAGAGGGGAAGGAGUGAUGGGUUCUGGAUCUCAAGGAGCAUUCUGAGCGUGUUCGCUAAAGCCCAUCCCAGGAAAGCACAGUUGCUAGGGGGAAUAAAUGCUCUUUUCAAUAGCUGCACAUGUUUUAACAUAACGAAUACCUCUUGUAUAACUUUCUAUACUUUUUACUCUGAAAGUUCGCAGGAUGGCCAGGAGGAGCAGCCAAACUUCUGUGAUUGGAGCAGAAUCAAUACACCGAAUGCAUGGUAACGAAGUACACAAAGAUGUGUGACUCAUCGCUGUGCAAUGUCACACUUGUGUAAUCUUUCAAUGUAAACUCUUUUCCUCUAAUAAAAUGUUAGUAAGUGCACAAUACGUAUAUAUGGCGCUGUGAGUCAGCCAAGAAAAUACACUCUGAUGAAUUCAGAAUGAAUGUGAAUGUUCCCUCGAUAACACACCCUGAAUGUCUGUGUCAGUUUAUGUGCUUGUGAUUUCAGCAACAGCUAUAGCAAAAUAUUUUGUUUCUAGGAUAUACAACUCCAUGUACGUUCGCAGCAGCUCGGCCGGACGCUGCCUUCCAGUCGGCGCUGUGAGGACGUUUGUUGGUAGCAGAGCUCUGUCACCCAGCUGCAUCCCUUUUCUUUUCAUAAGAGGGACGUUUAAUGGGCAGGGAGGAUGAAAGCUGAGCUGGUGAAAUAAUGGAUUCACUGCCUUUCGUUUCUUUUUGUUUUCCAAUAAGGCUACAGAGCUACCAGACGAUAGCUAUAUUAAACCUGGUGAGAGGCAUGUGAGAAUUUGUUUACGCUGUGAGUCACCGUGCUGUACAAAUUGGGCACAGCUCUGCCAUGACCUUCCUCGGAUCUGCAAUCAAGCACUGACAUUUUCCGGCUUCAUUAAUUUAUUUGUGUAUUGCUGUAUGCAAUGGUUAUUUAAAAUGUCUGAUAUGGAGACCCUGGCACUGAUCUCACUAACGGCAGCAUAGGAAAGGAGUGAUGCCACUGGUGUGGGGAAGCAAAGAAUGUGAGAUUAGAAGUAUUUCUUAAUCUGUCGUGGGUAGAGGAGAACUAAAUGAUGUGUGAUUUGUCUUCCAGCCAAAGCAAACACAGGCUCUACCAUUUCUGAACGACAGCGUUGGUUUUUCGAGGUGUUGCUGCUGAUCUCUGUUGUUGCUUUUACAUCAAGGGAAACUUGUGAAGGGAUUGUAGUCACGAAAUAAAGGAUUGAGAGCUGGGGCGAUGAAGUGCACCCGUGGUGAAACUGCAGCUGGAGCGGUUGGGGAGAUGCCCACACGUCACCUGGCUUCUGCGGCUCUGAGUCAUCGCACAACUCAAACAAACAAACAAACAGAGCUGCUUUCACGUGGGACGGUUCUCAGGGCGUCCUGCUGCACCUCAGCCUCUAUCAUGGCAGCGGGGAAAGGGCUGAGCUUGGAGCUCUCAGCACCGCGGGCGAUGCUGUGACCAAGCACUGCGUGCGCAGGAGGCACAGACGCCGUAUCUCUGUCCCAAACUGCCACCAUUCUGUUGACUCUUUCUUUCUUUCUUUCUUUCUUUCUUUCUUUCUUUCUUUCUUUCUUUCUUUCUUUCUUUCUGUCUUUCUGUCUUUCUGUCUUUCUGUCUUUCUGUCUUUCUGUCUUUCUUUCUUUCUUUCUUUCUUUCUUUCUUUCUCAGACUCUGAAUUCGUGUUUUCAAAAGUCUGAUAUCAAAGAAGAAGUCAGUAAAAUGAUGUGAACUACCACAUGAAGGAACUGUACAGGUGUUUUUAAGAUAGGCAUCUCUCAAUGUUGAAGAGUGAUUUAAUCCCAUAGGCCUUUUUUUGGUAAUUAAAGUAAUAUCACAAAUUAACUUGAUAAAGGAGCCGUUUUUACCAGAGCUUUUCCUGUACAAGGACCUAAAGGGGAAGGCAGACCUCCAUCUCUUUGAUAGCAUGGAGCUCCUGGGGCUCAUCACGCCUUUGAUACGGCACAUUUUCCUUUUUGUGUGUCUGUGAUUUCCUUCUCAGCUGUGUGUAUGUUCUCAAAACCUUUCCCUCUGAGGCGUCUGACAGCAGCCAUCUCUGCAGCACUUCCUUGAUCUUUGCCAUCUACGACUUUAUCAGUAACGAUUUCUGUUUUCUUCCAGGUCAUUGUUAACAAUGCUGAAUUGUAAGUGGCCCUGAAAGAGAUAAAGAACUAAUAAACCUGCUGGAUUAAAAAUUAAAUUAGCUUUCAAGAUGUGCCAACUUAUGUUUGGACCAAUGUGCGUGUGCGCACCAUAUUGAUUUGUCAUGUUCUUGUUUCUUAAUGUGAAAAUCACAUUGCACAAGGCACGAGUGGCUCGUUGCAUCAACACUGCUGCCUUAUUUAAAGUGCAGUUAAAAGCCAUUGUCAUUAACUAAAGCAAUUCUGUUCAUCAUUCUUGUACCGUAUCAAAUCUCUCCAGUAUUUUGCCCACGUUUUUAUGGCGCAGAGGAGCCUAUGUGGGCCGUUCUGUUUACCCUGUUAAAAUAUAUUGACAUAAUAUCAACAUUCUUCAAGUCACCUGGGGCUUCCCCACUGUUCCAAAAUUGAUUGAUAAUAAACAUUAACCAUCUGGAUAUGUCCUUAGUUGGUUCUUCUGAAACACUCACUUAUAAGUUACCCAGACCUGGCAACUUAAUCUUGUUUGAGCUGAGCAGCAGUUGUUUUAACAUCCUCCUUAGUUACUGGAAUGGAAAGUAUUUCAACAUCAUUAUUGUCUGAUCUGAAUGCAGCAUCUGGCUUCUUCUCAAAGAGAGAACAGAAAUAUUUUGUUGUGCUUACUUCUGCUUUUUCAGCAUUACUAUUGACAGGUCUAUCAUGUCCACUCGUUCCGAUGGCAAUCCUAAUUCACUCUGGUGAAGCCUUAUUAACUCAUCUGGAAGGUGAACAAACAUCAGCCGUUGCUGAUACUUUCAGCCACUGCAGACUUCCCUGGGCACAAAGGAAAAUUAAGCUUAAAGUCCAUCUCAAUAAAUAAGUCUACUAUAAAAGCUUUCUCAGAAAUGCACGAGGAAAUACUGCCCCUGUGAUUAAAGUACGGUAAUGGUUCAGUGAAUCAUGCAAAAUUCAGACGUUCUGUGAAUUUAAUUGUGAGUAUGUAUUUUAACCCAAGUUUGCCUUGUGAAGGAUGACAGCAUUCAGCUAUAAAUCUUCUUUUGUCAUUUUCGGUUCGGGGGCUCUUCAGACCCACGGAGUUUGCCCCAGUUUUUUAAUUACCAGCUUUGAUUAGGUGUGCAGUUGUGCUUCUGCCAGCACUUCUGACACGUGCGUGUUGUUGGAUUGCAGAUGUCCCUUUCAGCUUUCAAUUAAAGACACAUUUGAUGAAUCUUUCUUUUCUUGUACAGAACUGUGAAAUGAUGCCACAGUUUCAAAAACUGUACUGUCACGUUUAUCAGUGAAACUGCCUAAAUUAUCAGGCACAAAUUAUGAGCUACAGUUUUCUAUUGUUUCCAAGUAGUUUUUAUUGCGGUGUCAGUAAUCAGGAGGUGGAACAGUGGGGUUGUGAUAGAGGCCAGAAAACACCUGGAGUGCUUUCACCCAGGUGAGCUGUAUCAGCACAGCAGCAUUAAUGCAGCCCAUGGGUUGCAUUCGUGUUGCUUUGGGAGCUUUGAGGCAGAGCAUGGUGGAAGGAAAAAUCCCACUUUGUCCUGGAACAAGACGCUCAGGAAGCCCACUUGGCUCUGUUUCCUGCUAACAUGCGGCCCUGGCUCGCAAAAUCUCUGAGAACAACAGGCUUGAGACUGCUCGGCUCCAUUAAAAAAGCUGGCAGCUUGUCAAGGCCUGACAGAAAACCUUUGAAAGCUCUGGAUUUCCUCCAGCGAACGUAUGAGGCUCCUACAUCGGUGACAAAUUAGACUGAAACAGCACAAAACGCUCCUAUAUAAAUAAGCCCUUUUUCUCUGCGCUCACCCUUUUAAUAGUUCGAACAUUAUUUAUAGUUAUUUCUCUGGAUGGAAAAAUAUUUUCAUGUUUUUCCAAAGAUGGGUUCUCGUGAAAUGUUUUCCCUGUUUGUUUGGUGGGUUGUGUGUGUGGGGUUGGUUGGGAUUUUUUUUUUUUUUUUCCUUUUUCCUUCGAGAUUUUUGUGACGGUUUUCUUAAGCUCCAGGAGCGACCUUUCCUUCCUGGAAACGCACAGCACGGCGUUGUGAGCUGCUCUCCAACCGUUCCAGGAGGGCUGAACGCCCCUCUGGCCGCUCACUUCGUCGGGGGCUGCAGGACAGGUCUGCUGCACUCCAUCAGUGCCUUCACCUCUGCGUUCCAUGCACAGCGUUGGUCCUCUGUGGGUUUUUCUCCUCUGACUUCUCUCUGCGAUUCCAAGGCGAAUCAUCCUUCCAGAAAUGCUUUCCAGUGUCAGAAGAGAUGUGACCUUCAAAACGGAGGAUCUGCUUUCUCCCUAGCUGACAUUUUUCAGUAUGUUUACAUACUGUGCAGUACGUACGCUAUGUUAACCUCACCCCCAGCAUCUUCCCAUGUCCGGCGGUAGCGAUGACCUGGAAUCAUAGAUGCUAAGUCCAGAACAGUGGAGCUCAGUGAGUGGCUAAUUUUUGAGGAGCAUUUCCAUCAUUACCUGGGCCAUCACCAGCCUGAAGUUAUCCACGCACCCGAGAUGUGAACAGGAACCUGCUGUGCCUCAUCCCAGAGCUGGGAGACACAGACCAGGCCGCUGCAGGUUGACUGUGGUGCGGUGAUUUCCCUGCCCUUUUAUUUCCUUGCUGGGAAGCGAUGUUUAUUCUCCUGCAGAUUUAAGCACUGCAGGGCUCUGUUUGCACUUAAAGGAGGGUGUGGUGGACAGUUCAUCCCAUUCUGAGAUGGUAUGGCCAGUUCUGAGCCAGGGCAAUUACGUUUAAUCCCACUCCGGCCCUAUUGAUUUGUGGAAUUCUCUCCUGUUUUCACUUUCUUUCUUAAAGGACUCUCUUCAGUCCUUCAUUAUCCUCAGUCAUGUCCUGAAUCAUUAUGUUAGAUUAUGCCUUAUAAAAAUAAAAAAAUAUACACGA